CCUACGGGAGGCAGUAGUAGGGAAUUUUGCGCAAUGGGCGAAAGCCUGACGCAGCAACGCCGCGUGAUCGAGACGCCCUUCGGGGUGUAAAGAUCUGUCAGUGGAGACGAACCUUGACGGUACCCACAGAGGAAGCACCGGCUAACUCCGUGCCAGCAGCCGCGGUAUUACGGGGGGUGCAAGCGUUGUCCGGAAUCAUUGGGCGUAAAGAGUUCGUAGGCGGCACGGAAAGUCUGGUGUUAAAGGCAGGGGCUCAACUCCUGUACGGCACUGGACACUUGCGAGCUAGAUUGCGGUAGAGGUAAGCGGAAUGCGUGGUGUAGCGGUGAAAUGCUUAGAUAGCACGAGGAACAUCGAUGGCGUAGGCACUUUACUGGGCCGUAAUUGACGCUGAGGAACGAAAGCGUGGGUAGCAAACAGGAUUAGAUACCCCGGUAGUC
rnacentral:rRNA from 1 species